GUUGCAGCGCCCGACCCUAGUCGCGAAGAGGAGCGCUCGUGGAGGAAUUACAGACGGACACUUUCCUCACAUUGCUGCUUUUCUUUUCACACGGAUUAGGCGUGCGUCGUCAUUCGGAUCGGAUUCGGAUUGAGUCGGGCUGAGAUAGACUUGGAGGAGGAUUUUUUUUCUUUUUCCUCUCUUGCUGCUGCUGCUGCGGACCGGUACUGGGCAGCCGUCGUCAUUUUGCUGCUUCUCCUUCCCUAAACGAAGAACCUCGCUAGAUGGAAUUGAUCCGACUUCACGGCCCCGUCGGUCAUCUCAGCCUGGUCCUACUUGAUCCGCGGCUGUCAAAUGGAGAAAUGACCGGCUCGCACACCUCGCGGACGGCCGACUUUUUCCAUCCAUCCAUUUUCUUUACCCCCAAAAAUCGGUU